GAUGAACGCUGGCGGCGUGCCUAAUACAUGCAAGUCGAGCGAACGGACGAGAAGCUUGCGGCUCUGAUGUUAGCGGCGGACGUGUGAGUAACACGUGGAUAACCUACCUAUAAGACUGAGAUAACUUCGGGAAACCGGAUCUAAUACCGGAUAAUAUUUUGAACCGCAUGGGUCAAUAGUGAGAUACGGUCUUUCGGGCACUAAUAGAUGGAUCUGCGCUUCAUUAUCUAGUUGUUAAGGUAACGGCCUACCAAGGCGACGAGGCAUAGCCGACCUGAGAGGGUGGUCGGCGACCUUGGAGGUGAGCCAGCGACAAUACUACUAAGGGAGGCAGCAGUCGGGUAUAUUACGCAAUGGGCGAAAGUAUGACGGAGCAACGCCGCGUGAGUGAUGACGGUCUUCCGAUCGUAAAACUCUGUUACUAGGGAAGAACAUCUGUGUAAGUAGCCGUGCACAUAUUGACGGUACCUAAUAAGAAAGCAACGGCUAACUACGUG
rnacentral:rRNA from 1 species